rnacentral:rRNA from 1 species
GACGAACGCUGGCGGCGUGCCUAAUACAUGCAAGUAGAACGCUGAAGAGAGGAGCUUGCUCUUCUUGGAUGAGUUGCGAACGGGUGAGUAACGCGUAGGUAACCUGCCUUGUAGCGGGGGAUAACUAUUGGAAACGAUAGCUAAUACCGCAUAACAAUGGAUGACACAUGUCAUUUAUUUGAAAGGGGCAAUUGCUCCACUACAAGAUGGACCUGCGUUGUAUUAGCUAGUAGGUGAGGUAAUGGCUCACCUAGGCGACGAUACAUAGCCGACCUGAGAGGGUGGUCGGCCACACUGGGACUGAGACACGGCCCAGACUCCUACGGGAGGCAGCAGUAGGGAAUCUUCGGCAAUGGGGGCAACCCUGACCGAGCAACGCCGCGUGAGUGAAGAAGGUUUUCGGAUCGUAAAGCUCUGUUGUAAGUCAAGAACGGGUGUGAGAGUGGAAAGUUCACACUGUGACGGUAGCUUACCAGAAAGGGACGGCUAACUACGUGCCAGCAGCCGCGGUAAUACGUAGGUCCCGAGCGUUGUCCGGAUUUAUUGGGCGUAAAGCGAGCGCAGGCGGUUUGAUAAGUCUGAAGUUAAAGGCUGUGGCUCAACCAUAGUUCGCUUUGGAAACUGUCAAACUUGAGUGCAGAAGGGGAGAGUGGAAUUCCAUGUGUAGCGGUGAAAUGCGUAGAUAUAUGGAGGAACACCGGUGGCGAAAGCGGCUCUCUGGUCUGUAACUGACGCUGAGGCUCGAAAGCGUGGGGAGCGAACAGGAUUAGAUACCCUGGUAGUCCACGCCGUAAACGAUGAGUGCUAGGUGUUGGAUCCUUUCCGGGAUUCAGUGCCGCAGCUAACGCAUUAAGCACUCCGCCUGGGGAGUACGACCGCAAGGUUGAAACUCAAAGGAAUUGACGGGGGCCCGCACAAGCGGUGGAGCAUGUGGUUUAAUUCGAAGCAACGCGAAGAACCUUACCAGGUCUUGACAUCCCGAUGCUAUUUCUAGAGAUAGAAAGUUACUUCGGUACAUCGGUGACAGGUGGUGCAUGGUUGUCGUCAGCUCGUGUCGUGAGAUGUUGGGUUAAGUCCCGCAACGAGCGCAACCCCUAUUGUUAGUUGCCAUCAUUCAGUUGGGCACUCUAGCGAGACUGCCGGUAAUAAACCGGAGGAAGGUGGGGAUGACGUCAAAUCAUCAUGCCCCUUAUGACCUGGGCUACACACGUGCUACAAUGGUUGGUACAACGAGUUGCGAGUCGGUGACGGCGAGCUAAUCUCUUAAAGCCAAUCUCAGUUCGGAUUGUAGGCUGCAACUCGCCUACAUGAAGUCGGAAUCGCUAGUAAUCGCGGAUCAGCACGCCGCGGUGAAUACGUUCCCGGGCCU